UCUUUAUUCAUUAUACCUGCUGCUGCUGC
rnacentral:piRNA from 1 species